rnacentral:rRNA from 1 species
AGGAUGAACGCUGGCGGUCUGCUUAACACAUGCAAGUCGAACGGAGUACCUCGGUACUUAGUGGCGGACGGGUGAGUAACGCGUGAGAAUCUGCCCUUAGGUCGGGGACAACCAUUGGAAACGAUGGCUAAUACCGGAUAAGCCGAGAGGUAAAAGAUUAAUUGCCUAGGGAAGAGCUCGCGUCUGAUUAGCUAGUUGGUGAGGUAAAGGCUCACCAAGGCAUCGAUCAGUAGCUGGUCUGAGAGGAUGAUCAGCCACACUGGGACUGAGACACGGCCCAGACUCCUACGGGAGGCAGCAGUGGGAAUUUUCCGCAAUGGGCGAAAGCCUGACGGAGCAAGACCGCGUGAGGGAGGAAGGCUCUUGGGUUGUAAACCUCUUUCUUGGGAAGAACAAAUGACGGUACCCAAGGAAUCAGCAUCGGCUAACUCCGUGCCAGCAGCCGC